rnacentral:pre_miRNA from 1 species
AGAACAUUCGGACCGUCGGUCGCCGACCAACAACACCUGCUCAGUGGAAGACCUUCCCUUUGUGGU